UACGUAGGUGGCAAGCGUUGUCCGGAUUUACUGGGCGUAAAGAGCGCGCAGGCGGCUGGUCAAGUCCGAUGUGAAAGCUCCCGGCUUAACUGGGAAAUUGCAUCGGAAACUGAUCGGCUGGAAGGUGGGAGAGGGAUGCGGAAUUCCAGGUGUAGCGGUGAAAUGCGUAGAUAUCUGGAGGAACACCGGUGGCGAAGGCGGCAUCCUGGACCGGUAUUGACACUGAGGCGCGAAAGCCAGGGGAGCAAACGGG
rnacentral:rRNA from 1 species